CUGCAGCCCGAGUGGUGAUCGAUUUUAUUGGGCCUAAAGCGUCCGUAGCCUGUUUAAUAAGUUUUUUGUGAAAUCGUUGCGCUUAACGUAACGUUGUGCAAAAAAUACUGUCAGACUUGGAACUGGGAAGAGCUAGAGGUAUUCUGGGGGGAGCGGUAAAAUGCUAUAAUCCUCGGAGGACCACCAGUGGCGAAGGCGUCUAGCUAGAACAGAUUCGACGGUGAGGGACGAAAGCCAGGGGAGCAAUCCGGAUUAGAUACCCGAGUAGUCC
rnacentral:rRNA from 1 species